rnacentral:rRNA from 1 species
UGUCUAAGUAUAAGCAAUUAUACCGUGAAACUGCGAAUGGCUCAUUAAAUCAGUUAUCGUUUAUUUGAUAGUACCUUACUACUUGGAUAACCGUGGUAAUUCUAGAGCUAAUACAUGCUAAAAACCCCAACUUCGGGAGGGGUGUAUUUAUUAGAUAAAAAACCAACGCCCUUCGGGGCUUCUUGGUGAUUCAUGAUAACUUUACGGAUCGCAUGGCCUUGCGCCGGCGACGGUUCAUUCAAAUUUCUGCCCUAUCAACUUUCGAUGGUAAGGUAUUGGCUUACCAUGGUUUCAACGGGUAACGGGGAAUUAGGGUUCGAUUCCGGAGAGGGAGCCUGAGAAACGGCUACCACAUCCAAGGAAGGCAGCAGGCGCGCAAAUUACCCAAUCCCGACACGGGGAGGUAGUGACAAUAAAUACUGAUACAGGGCUCUUUUGGGUCUUGUAAUUGGAAUGAGUACAAUUUAAACCUCUUAACGAGGAACAAUUGGAGGGCAAGUCUGGUGCCAGCAGCCGCGGUAAUUCCAGCUCCAAUAGCGUAUAUUAAAGUUGUUGCAGUUAAAAAGCUCGUAGUUGAAACUUGGGUCUGGCUGGCAGGUCCGCCUCACCGCGUGUACUUGUCCGGCCGGGCCUUCCUUCUGGAGAACCUCAUGCCCUUCACUGGGCGUGUUGGGGACCAGGACUUUUACUUUGAAAAAAUUAGAGUGUUCAAAGCAGGCCUUUGCUCGAAUACGUUAGCAUGGAAUAAUAGAAUAGGACGUGCGGUCCUAUUUUGUUGGUUUCUAGGACCGCCGUAAUGAUUAAUAGGGACAGUCGGGGGCAUCAGUAUUCAAUUGUCAGAGGUGAAAUUCUUGGAUUUAUUGAAGACUAACUACUGCGAAAGCAUUUGCCAAGGAUGUUUUCAUUAAUCAGUGAACGAAAGUUAGGGGAUC